GCGCCAGUGGCGAAAUUGGUAGACGCGCUGGAUUUAGGUUCCAGUCCGAAAGGGUGCGGGUUCGAGUCCCUCCUGGCGCACCA
rnacentral:tRNA from 4 species